AAUUCUUCAAACUACUGUCUGCAUUUUUCCUAAUUCUUAGUUCAAUUGGGCCACCGAUAUGAUCCAUGUCAUGGAUCAUGUUGGGCCGUAACUGGAGCGGCCUACGAAUAUAUGGGGCCCAAUGGUCGCCACCAAUCAGCACAGCAGUUUAUGUCGUCUCGUGAGAUCUGGAGCCGCGCCGGAGGUGAUCAGCGCGACGGUGGCGGCCGAGGCCGGCAGCUUUCUUCGGGGAGAUGUUUCGACGAACAAUCAUUGAUCAUCGAACUGUCACCAUCGCAAUCUGAAUUUUCCAUCUAUUCCGCCGACGACGGAGUAUGAAGAGAAGUCCUCGGAGAAUCAACUCAGCGGAUUGUAAUGCGAGACCGGUUCAGUCAUCAUCGAGGUGGCAACCCUAUAUGUCUUUUUAUGCUUAGGGCCUAUGAAUCGACUUCUGGAGUUGAUCCACAAAGACAUUUCAAGAUAAGAGCAGAUGCAAUGUUCAAUGGCUGACUAUGGUCUUUAUCUUAGCGUAUUUCUUUGGCAAAUCUUCCUGUUUGGGUUGUUGACAAUCUUAUGCUGUCAAUAGUUCUUGUCACCUGUGACCAUGAGAGAUUUCGAUGUUAACCAUUGUAUACGUCCCAUUUGUUUCUGUUCAUCUUCUAGAUGUUUUAUUUAUCUCAAGUUUAGGAAGAGGGAAAGGAAGAGAAGAACUGUUAGUGGUUUAUGACAAAGAGUUUUGAUUGACUUAGGACAUUUAAGGAGUAUGGGCAC